CCUACGGGAGGCAGCAGUGGGGAAUAUUGCGCAAUGGGCGAAAGUCUGACGCAGCGACGCCGCGUGAGGGAUGAAGGUCUUCGGAUCGUAAACCUCUGUCAGCAGGGAAGAACGGUCACUGUGCUAAUCAGCAGUGAAUUGACGGUACCUGCAAAGGAAGCACCGGCUAACUCCGUGCCAGCAGCCGCGGUAAUGCGGAGGGUGCGAGCGUUAAUCGGAAUUACUGGGCGUAAAGCGCUCGUAGGCGGUAUGUCAAGUCAAGGGUGAAAUCCCCGCGCUCAACGUGGGAACUGCCUUUGAUACUGGCAAGCUGGAGUGUGGUAGAGGGUAGUAGAAUUCCAGGUGUAGGAGUGAAAUGCGUAGAUAUCUGGAGGAACAUCAGUGGCGAAGGCGACUAUCUGGCACAUAACUGACGCUGAGGAGCGAAAGCGUGGGUAGCAAACAGGAUUAGAUACCCGGGUAGUC
rnacentral:rRNA from 1 species